GAUGAACGCUGGCGGCGUGCUUAACACAUGCAAGUCGAACGGAAAGGCCAGUGCUUGCCCUGGUACUCGAGUGGCGAACGGGUGAGUAACACGUGGGUGAUCUGCCCUGCACUUCGGGAUAAGCCUGGGAAACUGGGUCUAAUACCGGAUAGGACAAUGGUUUGGAUGCCGUUGUGGAAAGUUUUUUCGGUGUGGGAUGAGCUCGCGGCCUAUCAGCUUGUUGGUGGGGUAAUGGCCUACCAAGGCGUCGACGGGUAGCCGGCCUGAGAGGGUGUACGGCCACAUUGGGACUGAGAUACGGCCCAGACUCCGACGGGAGGCAGCAGGGGGGAAUAUUGCACAAUGGGCGCAAGCCUGAUGCAGCGACGCCGCGUGGGGGAUGACGGCCUUCGGGUUGUAAACUCCUUUCGCUAGGGACGAAGCGUAUUUGUGACGGUACCUGGAGAAGAAGCACCGGCUAACUACGUG
rnacentral:rRNA from 1 species